AGGAAGUUCAGGGAGGUUGCUAGGAAACUCUGAGAAGAGACUUUACUCCAGCCUUCGGAAGGGAACCCUACGUGAGUCCUGCCAAGGAUUUCCCUAUCGAACCUGAGAUCUACAGAGUCCAGAAAUCUUUCCUGUCACGUGAAGUAGAACGAGACCAACAAGGGAGCCGAUUGGAACGGCUCGUUUACUUCAGGGGUUACUUCCCUGAGGUAAGACUACACAAGGGCAGGAGGUGGAGUCAAGAUGGCAACAUAGAAGCAGCAAAAGUUCAGACCUCUGAAAACCCUUCCUUACCAAUCACAAACUGAAUGCUCCUAGGGGACUGAAAAUCAAAACUAACAACAAGACAGAGCCAAGGAAUCAUCCUGCUAGACUCAGUUUAAAAGAUGAGAAAACUGGGACUCGGAGCAAUGAAGCAACUUGUCAACAUCACAAGCAUCCAGAAAGCAGGUUACAAUAUGUUAGCACUGUGAAAAAGUAAACCUGAAAGUAUGUAUUUUUUUGUUGUUCAUUUGUCUGACUGUUCAUGAUCCCUUGGGCUGUAAUUAUCCGUGGGUUUUUUUGGCAAGGAUGUGGGAGUGGUUUGUCAUUUAUUCCUCUAGAAGAUCUAAUUCAUCCUUUUGUCUGGCAAUCAGAGGUGAAGUGACGUGCUCAGAGUCACACAGCUCAUAAGCAUCUGGGGCUGAAUUUGAAUUCAGGCCUUCUGAUUCUGGGUUCAUUGCUCUUAACCAUUGUGCCACAGUUGCCUCAUCCAUGUACUAAACCUGGAAAUGUGUCUGUGUCUGUCUGUCUAUCUAUCUAUCUACCUAUCUAUCUAUCUAAGAGAAGAGAGAG